CUAGACUCGUACCUUUUGCAUCAUGAUUUAGCUAGAAAACCUCAAGCAAAGAGCACUUUAGUUUGAUUCCCCGAAACUACGUGAGCUACUCCAAGACAGCCUAACAACUAGGGCAAACCCGUCUCUGUGGCAAAAGAGUGGGAAGAUCUUUGAGUAGAGGUGACAGACCUAUCGAACCUAGUUAUAGCUGGUUGCCUGGGAAAUGAAUAGAAGUUCAGCCUCUCGGAUUCUCCGCUCACUCCACCCACCCCCUCCGACAACUAAAAGAAACCGAAAGAGUUAGUCGAAGGGGGUACAGCCCCUUUGACACAAGAUACAACUUUCCCAGAAGGGUAAAGAUCAUAUCCAGCACCAAGGUAAAAUGUUUAGGUGGGCCCAAAAGCAGCCACCCCAUAGAAUGCGUUAAAGCUCAGACAUGACUACCACCCCCAAUCCUGACAAUCUUAUCUUAACCCCCUAACCCUACCAGGCCAUUCCAUGCAGACAUGGAAGUGACCAUGCUAAUAUGAGUAAUAAGAGAGUAUAAACCUCUCUCCUUGCACAAGUG
rnacentral:rRNA from 1 species